rnacentral:rRNA from 1 species
ACGGCGAGUGAAGCGGCAAGAGCUCAACUUUGGAAUCGCUCCGGCGAGUUGUAGUCUGGAGGUGGCCACCACGAGGUGUUCUAGCAGCAGGCAAGUCCUUUGGAACAAGGCGCCAGCGAGGGUGACAGCCCCGUACCUGCUUUUGCUAGUGCUUCCUGUGGCCCACCGACGAGUCGAGUUGUUUGGGAAUGCAGCUCUAAGUGGGUGGUAAAUUCCAUCUAAGGCUAAAUAUUGGCGAGAGACCGAUAGCGAACAAGUACAGUGAUGGAAAGAUGAAAAGCACUUUGAAAAGAGAGUGAAACAGUACGUGAAAUUGUUGAAAGGGAAGGGCUUGCACCCAGACACGGUUUCGGCCGGGCCAGCAUCAAGUAGAACGGGGUUAAAAGACUUGGGGAAUGUAGCUACUUCGGUAGUGUUAUAGCCCUUGGUGAUGACCCCUGUUUUGCUUGAGGACAGCGGUCUCUAGGAUGCUGGCGCAAUGGUUGCAAGCCACCCGUCUUGAACAACGGAC